rnacentral:misc_RNA from 1 species
GAGAUAUUGGGGAAUGAGAAGACAUAUCAAAAUAUUAUUCUCAAGUAGCACAGUGAACAUCCAAAAUAUUUUUGCACUAGUGCAUUCACCUGCACAAGUGUUACACACAGACCUAUAUAUGUUUGCAUGUGAACACAUGCGUAUAUUUUAGAAAAAUCUCCUACUUGACUGGUUAAUGGUGCUUAGAAUUUUACACAAUAUGGAAAGAUUUGGUAAUCAGAGCUAAACCUACUUAUUCCUCAAACUGAAAUGACAAUAGAUUUAGUUUAACCUCUUAGUGGAGG